UAUCAUGCAGUCGAGCGAGGUCUUCGGACCUAGCGGCGGACGGGUGAGUAACACGUGGGUAACCUGCCUGUAAGAUUGGGAUAACUCCGGGAAACCGGAGCUAAUACCGGAUAACAUUUCGAACCGCAUGGUUCGAAAUUGAAAGAUGGCUUUUAGCUAUCACUUACAGAUGGACCCGCGGCGCAUUAGCUAGUUGGUGAGGUAACGGCUCACCAAGGCAACGAUGCGUAGCCGACCUGAGAGGGUGAUCGGCCACACUGGGACUGAGACACGGCCCAGACUCCUACGGGAGGCAGCAGUAGGGAAUCUUCCGCAAUGGACGAAAGUCUGACGGAGCAACGCCGCGUGAACGAUGAAGGCCUUCGGGUCGUAAAGUUCUGUUGUUAGGGAAGAACAAGUACUAGAGUAACUGCUGGUACCUUGACGGUACCUAACCAGAAAGCCACGGCUAACUACGUGCCAGCAGCCGCGGUAAUACGUAGGUGGCAAGCGUUGUCCGGAAUUAUUGGGCGUAAAGCGCGCGCAGGUGGUUUCUUAAGUCUGAUGUGAAAGCCCACGGCUCAACCGUGGAGGGUCAUUGGAAACUGGGGAACUUGAGUGCAGAAGAGGAAAGUGGAAUUCCAAGUGUAGCGGUGAAAUGCGUAGAGAUUUGGAGGAACACCAGUGGCGAAGGCGACUUUCUGGUCUGUAACUGACACUGAGGCGCGAAAGCGUGGGGAGCGAACAGGAUUAGAUACCCUGGUAGUCCACGCCGUAAACGAUGAGUGCUAAGUGUUAGA
rnacentral:rRNA from 1 species